UAGGGAAUCUUCGGCAAUGGGGGGAACCCUGACCGAGCAACGCCGCGUGAGUGAAGAAGGUUUUCGGAUCGUAAAGCUCUGUUGUUAAGGAAGAACGAGUGUGAGAAUGGAAAGUUCAUACUGUGACGGUACUUAACCAGAAAGGGACGGCUAACUACGUGCCAGCAGCCGCGGUAAUACGUAGGUCCCGAGCGUUGUCCGGAUUUAUUGGGCGUAAAGCGAGCGCAGGCGGUUAGAUAAGUCUGAAGUUAAAGGCAGUGGCUCAACCAUUGUAGGCUUUGGAAACUGUUUAACUUGAGUGCAGAAGGGGAGAGUGGAAUUCCAUGUGUAGCGGUAAAAUGCGUAGAUAUAUGGAGGAACACCGGUGGCGAAAGCUGCUCUCUGGUCUGUAACUGACGCUGAGGCUCGAAAGCGUGGGGAGCGAACAGG
rnacentral:rRNA from 1 species